rnacentral:rRNA from 1 species
GGGGGGGGGUGGGGGGGGGGCGGAGGGAUGGGGGGCGGGGGAGCGGAGGGGGAGCGUGCUUCUGUGGUGUUAGCGGCGGACGGGUGAGUCCCACGUGGCUAACCUACCUAUACGAAGGGGAUAGCUUCAGGCCCACUGCGCUGAUACCGGCUGAUAUUUUGAACCUCAUCGUUCACCCGUGACAUCCCGUCUUGCGUUCACUCGUAGUUGUAUCCGCUCUGCAUUAGCUCGGUGGUAAGUUUACGCCUUACCAAUGCAACGUGGCAUCGCCGACCUGAGAGGGUGAUCGGCCACACUGGAACCGAGACACGGUCCAGACUCCUACGGGAGGCAGCAGUAGGUAAUCUUCCGCAAUGGGCGAAAGCCUGACGGAGCAACGCCGCGUGAGUGAUGAAGGUCUUCGGAUCGUAAAACUCUGUUAUUAGGGAAGAACAUAUGUGUAAGUAACUGUGCACAUCUUGACGGGACCUAAUCAGAAAGCCACGGCUAACUACGUG